rnacentral:misc_RNA from 1 species
GAUGAAGAACGUAGCGAAUUGCGAUAUGUAAUGUGAAUUGCAGAAUUCAGUGAAUCAUCGAAUCUUUGAACGCACCUUGCGCUCCUUGGCAUUCCGAGGAGCAUGCCUGUUUGAGUGUCAUUAAAUUCUCAAGACCUGUCUGCUUUUUUGAUAGGUAUUGGAUUUUGGGGGUUGCAGGCUGUUUCAAAUAAAUAGCCUUGCUCUCCUUGAAUGUAUUAGUGGAGAAAAGCCAUUGAACUCCAUUGGUGUGAUAAAACCUAUCAAUGCCAGGAGCAAUAUCACUACUUCUCUCUGCUGUCUAACUGUGACUGUCUGUAUUAAUUAGUAUGGAUGGGGACAACUUGACCAACUUGACCUCAAAUCAGGUAGGACUACCCGCUGAACUUAAGCAUAUCAAUAAGCGGAGGA